rnacentral:rRNA from 1 species
UUGAACGCUGGCGGCAUGCCUUACACAUGCAAGUCGAACGGCAGCACGGGAGCAAUCCUGAUGGCGAGUGGCGAACGGGUGAGUAAAGCAUCGGAACGUACCGUGUAGUGGGGGAUAACGUAGCGAAAGUUACGCUAAUACCGCAUACGCACUGAGGUGGAAAGCAGGGGAUCGCAAGACCUUGCGCUAUACGAGCGGCCGAUGUCAGAUUAGCUAGUUGGUAGGGUAAAGGCCUACCAAGGCGACGAUCUGUAGCGGGUCUGAGAGGAUGAUCCGCCACACUGGGACUGAGACACGGCCCAGACUCCUACGGGAGGCAGCAGUGGGGAAUUUUGGACAAUGGGCGAAAGCCUGAUCCAGCCAUGCCGCGUGAGUGAAGAAGGCCUUCGGGUUGUAAAGCUCUUUCGGCUGGGAAGAAAUCGCACAGGCUAAUACUCUGUGUGGAUGACGGUACCAGCACAAGAAGCACCGGCUAACUACGUG